rnacentral:rRNA from 1 species
CGGAGGGGGCUAGCGUUGUUCGGAAUUACUGGGCGUAAAGCGCACGUAGGCGGCUUUGUAAGUUAGAGGUGAAAGCCCGGAGCUCAACUCCGGAAUUGCCUUUAAGACUGCAUCGCUAGAACGUCGGAGAGGUGAGUGGAAUUCCGAGUGUAGAGGUGAAAUUCGUAGAUAUUCGGAAGAACACCAGUGGCGAAGGCGACUCACUGGACGACUGUUGACGCUGAGGUGCGAAAGCGUGGGGAGCAAACAGGA